GCUCAUUUGGUUUGCAAGAUUAGGGCUGAUAGGAUGCUUUAUCAGCCCUAAUCAGGCGUUUGGUUUGCAUGCCCGAGGCCCAAUAUAGAUAAGAGGCCCGAUACUGGAAUCCCGAAUUUAUUUGAUUAUGAAUCAGCCCAGCACAUCCCUGAUUGUGCAAUCUGGAAUUUCGGCCAGAUCCACUUGACAAAAAAUGUUAUUUAAAAAAAAUAAUAGCCUUCAAAAUCAAACAAUUAACCACACACCCUGGUAUAAAUAAUAGAAACGUGUAUUUCCCUUCACACAUGAACCCUACCUGAGGUAAUUCCCAAACACGAAAUUAUCGCAAUUCGCGAAUCAUAUUUUUGGUGAAACAAUAUAUCGAUUUACGUUUAUUCUUAAUGGAUUUUUAAAACAACAUAUGGUGUUUAUUUUGGCAGGUAUUCAAAGCACGAAGAAUUGAAGCUACAAGAAACGAAGCUAAGUAAUUAUCCAGUGUAAUUGUGAUGGCCCUAACUACAGAACAAGAAGAAUGCAUUGUUGUUGUACGAUUGGCCGAUUCACUACGAUGACUACCUUAUGGCGGGUCUGGAGCGACUAUCUCAGCCAUUUUCUUCGUUGGAGAAUGUUCAGGUGGUCAACAGAAUAACCGAGCAAAUUACAACUGAAAUGUUUUCAGCAUAUGGAAUUAUAUGCAAUUUGUUGACUGUUAAAGGACGUUUACAAGAUAUUCGCAGUCGGUUUGAAGACUUCGACCAGUACAUCAAAUUACCAGGGGUGUUCUACGACCGUCUCACUAAUCAAGUUUCAGUUGAUACAAGUUAUUGGGGAAAUUUGAUGACCAGUGUAAGCGUUUUAUAUAUUUUGCAAUUGUAAUUGAUUUGUCUAUUUAGUUGCGUUUAUUUGCGUUAAUCUUGUCCAUCCUGAAUUGCUCAGGAAACAACAGUUCAAAGUCACUAUAGAGAAUUUGGUUUUAAAUACUAUAAUACUUGUGUGACGUUGCUCAACUUGAACAAAAUCGGACCGAUAGAUUUUGAAGUUGUCCGAGUGUUCCAUAUGCUUCCACCGCAACUCGAUGCUGACAACGUUGAGAACGAGGAGUUCGUGGCCGACGAGGUUAUGAGUGAACCGAUUGAAGCUUAGGAACAAGAAGAUGAGAACGUUAGUGGAUCCGAUGAGGAAACCUCCAUAAUUACUUGUGUUUGAGAGUGUCUUAAACAUGUUUAUAUUUCUUAAAAAGUCUACAGUAAGUCAUGGUACUUUGAGUUUCUUCAUUUUCUUUGAUUUUUAUGCAUUUUGUAAUAUUACUUUGAAUCUAUCCUACAUCUCAUGAGUA